GGGGAAGGCAUGUUGGAAGAUACAGACUAACACUUUGAGCUCUUUUACUUCAUCUUCCUUUGAUGUCCAGGACACAAUGAGUAAGAAGUGCCAGGAAUACAAGAAGUCCUUGUGUCUGCAGACCAGAAUUUUGCUGACUCAGCAACCUGGGCCUCACUGGAAUACAGAGGAAUGCAUCAAAACCUCUGGGAGAAACCUUUGCCAGGACUUAGUAAGCCUUAUGUUCAUAGUCUGAGCAUUUAUACACAUCCCAUGAAGCUUUAUGAAAUCUUGCUCAUCAGCUCCAGACUGCAGAAUAAAUCCUAGCUAGAAUGAUUGAUUAAUACUCA
rnacentral:lncRNA from 12 species